CACGUAGGGGGCAAGCGUUGUCCGGAUUUAUUGGGCGUAAAGAGCUCGUAGGCGGCUCAGUAAGUCAGGUGUGAAACCUCCAGGCUCAACCUGGAGACGCCACCUGAUACUGCUGUGGCUAGAGUGCGGUAGGGGAGAUUGGAAUUCCUGGUGUAGCGGUGAAAUGCGCAGAUAUCAGGAGGAACACCGGUGGCGAAGGCGGGUCUCUGGGCCGAUACUGACGCUGAGGAGCGAAAGCGUGGGGAGCGAACAGG
rnacentral:rRNA from 1 species